rnacentral:rRNA from 1 species
AGGGAUGGUGGAAUUUCGUGGUGUAGCGGUGAAAUGGNUUAGAUAUGCACGGAGNACUCCGAUUGCGAAGGCAGCNNUNUGGGGUACAACUGAACGCUGAGGNUCGAAAGUGCGGGUAUCAAACAGGAUUAGAUACCNUGGUAGUCCGCACAGUAAANCGAUGGACAUUCGUGGUCGGCGACACACUGCCGGUCACCAAGCGAAAGCGAUAAGUGUNCCCACCUGGGGAGUACGCCGGCNACGGUGA